UCCUUGGAGCUAUGCGGGGUUUAAAAAAUAGAGCAUUCGACUGCAGAUCGAGAUGUCCCCGGUUCAAACCCGGGGGCCCCUUCUUCAGGGAA